UAUGUGUGCUACAAAUUGCAUA
rnacentral:siRNA from 1 species